GAGUUUGAUCCUGGCUCAGAUUGAACGCUGGCGGCAGGCCUAACACAUGCAAGUCGAGCGGUAGCACAGAGAGCUUGCUCUCGGGUGACGAGCGGCGGACGGGUGAGUAAUGUCUGGGAAACUGCCUGAUGGAGGGGGAUAACUACUGGAAACGGUAGCUAAUACCGCAUAACGUCGCAAGACCAAAGUGGGGGACCUUCGGGCCUCAUGCCAUCAGAUGUGCCCAGAUGGGAUUAGCUAGUAGGUGGGGUAAUGGCUCACCUAGGCGACGAUCCCUAGCUGGUCUGAGAGGAUGACCAGCCACACUGGAACUGAGACACGGUCCAGACUCCUACGGGAGGCAGCAGUGGGGAAUAUUGCACAAUGGGCGCAAGCCUGAUGCAGCCAUGCCGCGUGUAUGAAGAAGGCCUUCGGGUUGUAAAGUACUUUCAGCGAGGAGGAAGGCGUUGUGGUUAAUAACCGCAACGAUUGACGUUACUCGCAGAAGAAGCACCGGCUAACUCCGUGCCAGCAGCCGCGGUAAUACGGAGGGUGCAAGCGUUAAUCGGAAUUACUGGGCGUAAAGCGCACGCAGGCGGUCUGUCAAGUCGGAUGUGAAAUCCCCGGGCUCAACCUGGGACUGCAUCCGAAACUGGCAGGCUAGAGUCUUGUAGAGGGGGGUAGAAUUCCAGGUGUAGCGGUGAAAUGCGUAGAGAUCUGGAGGAAUACCGGUGGCGACGGCCCCCUGGAAAGACUGACCUCAGUGCGAAAGCGUGGGGAGCAAACAGGAUUAAUACCCUGGAGUCCACGCCUAAACAUGUCACUUGGAGGUU
rnacentral:rRNA from 1 species